rnacentral:rRNA from 1 species
CAUAUCAAUAAGCGGAGGAAAAGAAACUAACAAGGAUUCCCCUAGUAACUGCGAGUGAAGCGGGAAAAGCUCAAAUUUAAAAUCUGACAGUUUCACUGUCCGAGUUGUAAUCUGGAGAAGCAUUUUCUGUGUCGGACCGUGUACAAGUUUCUUGGAAUAGAACGUCAUAGAGGGUGAGAAUCCCGUCCAUGACACGGACUACCGAUGCUUUGUGAUAUGCUCUCGAAGAGUCGAGUUGUUUGGGAAUGCAGCUCAAAAYGGGUGGUAAAUUCCAUCUAAAGCUAAAUAUUGGCGAGAGACCGAUAGCGAACAAGUACCGUGAGGGAAAGAUGAAAAGCACUUUGGAAAGAGAGUUAAACAGUACGUGAAAUUGUUGAAAGGGAAACGCUUGAAGUCAGUCGCGUUGUCAGAGACUCAGCCUUGCUUUGCAYGGUGUACUUCUCAGUCAACGGGUCAACAUCAAUUUCAGUUGGUGGAUAAAGGCAUUGGGAAUGUGGCACCUUCGGGUGUGUUAUAGACCUUUGUUGCAUACACUGACCGGGAUUGAGGAACGCAGCACGCCACUAAGGCCAGGGAUUCGUCCCAUGUAACGUGCUUAGGAUGUUGGCAUAAUGGCUUUAAGYGACCCGUCUUGAAACACGGACCAAGGAGUCUAACAUGCCUGCGAGUAUUAGGGUGGAAAACCCUUGUGCGUAAUGAAAGUGAAAAGUURGGACCUCUUGCGAGGGCACCGACGCCCGGCCCUGAAGUUUACUGACGGCGCYGCGGUAGAGCAUGUAUGUUGGGACCCGAAAGAUGGUGAACUAUGCCUGAAUAGGGUGAAGCCAGGGGAAACUCUGGUGGAGGCUCGUAGCGAUUCUGACGUGCAAAUCGAUCGUCAAAUUUGGGUAUAGGGGCGAAAGACUAA